GACGAACCGUACGAACGUUAUUCGGAAUCACUGGGCUUAAAGGGUGCGUAGGCGGCGCGACAAGUUGGGUGUGAAAUCCCUCGGCUCAACCGAGGAACUGCGCCCAAAACUGCCGUGCUCGAGGGAGACAGAGGUGAGCGGAACUUAGGGUGGAGCGGUGAAAUGCGUUGAUAUCCUAAGGAACACCGGUGGCGAAAGCGGCUCACUGGGUCUCUUCUGACGCUGAGGCACGAAAGCUAGGGUAGCGAACGGG
rnacentral:rRNA from 1 species